rnacentral:lncRNA from 1 species
AUAAAACAAUAAAAAUUAAUAUUGUUUUUCCUCCUUGCAGCCAAGCUCUCAGCAGAAAUACGUAGGCUCACAGCUCUGCUUGGGGACCGAGACAAACAGCUUCGGAAACUAACUGCAGAACUUGGUAAGUAAUUUUCUUUCCCAUGUGCAUUUUGAUCUCGUUGGGAAGUAGAUGAGUGAAUGAGGGGUCAAGUUUGUAAUACGUUUUGGUGUAAUUACAGCAGAUGUCUCUAAGCAUUGCUGAUGU